rnacentral:rRNA from 1 species
GGUAUUGCCCUAGUACGGCGAGUGAAGCGGCAACAGCUCAAAUUUGAAAGCUAGCCUUCGGGUUCGCAUUGUAAUUUGUAGAGGAUGAUUUGGGGAAGCCGCCUGUCUAAGUUCCUUGGAACAGGACGUCAUAGAGGGUGAGAAUCCCGUAUGUGACAGGAAAUGGCACCCUAUGUAAAUCUCCUUCGACGAGUCGAGUUGUUUGGGAAUGCAGCUCUAAAUGGGAGGUAAAUUUCUUCUAAAGCUAAAUAUUGGCGAGAGACCGAUAGCGCACAAGUAGAGUGAUCGAAAGAUGAAAAGCACUUUGGAAAGAGAGUUAAAAAGCACGUGAAAUUGUUGAAAGGGAAGCGCUUGCAAUCAGACUUGUUUAAACUGUUCGGCCGGUCUUCUGACCGGUUUACUCAGUUUGGACAGGCCAGCAUCAGUUUCGGCGGCCGGAUAAAGGCUCUGGGAAUGUGGCCUCCACUUCGGUGGAGGUGUUAUAGCCCAGGGUGUAAUACGGCCAGCCGGGACUGAGGUCCGCGCUUCGGCUAGGAUGCUGGCGUAAUGGUUGUAAGCGACCCGU